UCAAAUUGUUUAUACUUUUUCUCAAAUACAAAUAUUUCAAGCUGAUAAGUACUGUGGAGUUGGCAUGUUACUGAUAUUGUUACAUUAGUUCUUUGUUUGAGAAGCUUCAUGUCUGCAUUGAGCCUAAAUUUAACAGUUUUUGAAGGGUUUAGUUCUUUGUUUUAUUUCUGUGUCACUGACCUUUUUCAUUUUUAUGUGUGGAUUUGUUAGGCGCAUCAACACAUGAAAUAGACAUCGUGUCCAAAAGAAGAGCGAGACGUAAUCCUGAGGCUGAAGCCACCGAGUUUAUUUGAUCUGGAUGUGACAAGUCUUGUUUUAAGGCCCAGUGGAUCAAUGAUUGGAAAGACACCAACUGUUGAUGUUCUAUCUCAACAUUCUCCAGAUUCAUGUGAGCGAUAAACCGACUUCAUCCCUCCAACAGACACCAACUGUUGGGGUUCUAUCUCAACAUUCUCCAGAUUCAGAUGUGAGCGAUAAACCGACUUCAUCCCUCCAACAGAAACCAACUGUUGAGGUUCCAUCUCAACAUUCUCCGGAUUCAGAUGUGAGCCAUUAACUGACUUCAUCCCUCCAACAGGUUAUUACAUGUCUAUUUUUACUAUAUCUGCUCUAAAUUUGACCCAACCUAUAUUUUGAAAGACAUUUAUUUAUUUUAAUCUCUCACAGAUCAGUUUAUAUGACAACUUUUUC